rnacentral:rRNA from 1 species
CGGCCGCGGUAUCCUGACCGUGCAAAGGUAGCAUAAUCAUUUGUUCCUUAAUUAGGGACUUGUAUGAAUGGCCUCACGAGGGUUUAACUGUCUCUUACUUUUAAUCAGUGAAAUUGACCUUCCCGUGAAGAGGCGGGAAUAAAACAAUAAGACGAGAAGACCCUAUGGAGCUUAAAUUAACUUGUCCAUGGACAAUAAAUUUUGGUUGGGGUGACCUCGGAGUAUAAAAUACCCUCCGAACUAAGACUAAUUUGUCAAGGUCAAUCACAUUGAUCAACGGACUAAGUUACCCUAGGGAUAACAGCGCAAUCCUAUUUAAGAGUCCAUAUCGACAAUAGGGUUUACGACCUCGAUGUUGGAUCAGGACAUCCUAAUGGUGCAGCAGCU